rnacentral:rRNA from 1 species
CAGCCGCCGCGGUAAUACAGAGGGUGCGAGCGUUAAUCGGAUUUACUGGGCGUAAAGCGUGCGUAGGCGGCUUUUUAAGUCGGAUGUGAAAUCCCUGAGCUUAACUUAGGAAUUGCAUUCGAUACUGGGAAGCUAGAGUAUGGGAGAGGAUGGUAGAAUUCCAGGUGUAGCGGUGAAAUGCGUAGAGAUCUGGAGGAAUACCGAUGGCGAAGGCAGCCAUCUGGCCUAAUACUGACGCUGAGGUACGAAAGCAUGGGGAGCAAACAGGAUUAGAUACCCGUGUAGUCCCUGUCUCUUAUAU